rnacentral:tRNA from 1 species
UGGAAAUGCUAUGUAGACUCCUGUUUACCGAGGGUUCGAAUCCCUCUCUUUC